GGGGAUGCACUGGUUUCGACGGGAAGCGCUCUUUUAAAACUGCAAGCCUCCUUUGAAUCACAGGAGUAAAAAAGAUUCAAAAAAGAAAAGACAACGAUUAUUCUGUUGCCCCUAGCGUUAACUACAACGUUAACUACGCUUUUGCGUAAAUAGGCAUCUUUAAAAUUUCUUGCUUGCCGGAAGCUUAAAGGUGUAAACAAAGACAAGACGCAGGCUGCUGGUUUGCCAAACACCAGUUGCCAAAGCCUAAGUUUGGCAACCUCUAGCUUUCCAGGUUAACGGAUCAGGCUAGAGGUAAAAAAGUUAACCUAAGCUUGUAGAAGUUUUAAAUUAGACUUUUCGGAUUCCGGUUCAAUUCCGGACAUCUCCACAC
rnacentral:tmRNA from 1 species